rnacentral:rRNA from 1 species
AUUGAACGCUGGCGGCAGGCCUAACACAUGCAAGUCGAACGAGUGGCGGACGGGUGAGUAAUGUCUGGGAAACUGCCCGAUGGAGGGGGAUAACUACUGGAAACGGUAGCUAAUACCGCAUACCAUCAGAUUUGCCCAGAUGGGUUUAGCUAGUUGGUGGGGUAACGGCUCACCAAGGCGACGAUCCCUAGCUGGUCUGAGAGGAUGACCAGCCACACUGGAACUGAGACACGGUCCAGCCUCCUACGGGAGGCAGCAGUGGGGAAUAUUGCACAAGGGGCGCAAUCCUGAUGCAGCCAUGCCGCGUGUAUGAAGAAGGCCUUCGGGUUGUAAAGUACUUUCAGCGAGGAGGCGUUACUCGCAGAAGAAGCAUCGGCUAACUCCGUGCCAGCCGCCGCGGUAAUUC